GAUGAACGCUGGCGGCGUGCCUAACACAUGCAAGUCGAGCGAGGCACUUACUUUAGAUUUCUUCGGAAUGACGAAGUUUGUGACUGAGCGGCGGACGGGUGAGUAACGCGUGGGCAACCUGCCCUGUACAGGGGGAUAACAGUCAGAAAUGACUGCUAAUACCGCAUAAGCCCACAGCUUCGCAUGAAGCAGUGGGAAAAACUCCAGUGGUACAGGAUGGGCCCGCGUCUGAUUAGCUAGUUGGUAAGGUAACGGCUUACCAAGGCGACGAUCAGUAGCCGGUCUGAGAGGGUGACCGGCCACAUUGGGACUGAGACACGGCCCAAACUCCUACGGGAGGCAGCAGUGGGGAAUAUUGGACAAUGGGCGAAACCCUGAUGCAGCGACGCCGCGUGAGCGAUGAAGUAUUUCGGUAUGUAAAGCUCUAUCAGCAGGGAAGAAAGUGACGGUACCGGACUAAGAAGCCCCGGCUAACUACGUG
rnacentral:rRNA from 1 species